CCUACGGGUGGCAGCAGUGGGGAAUAUUGCACAAUGGGGGAAACCCUGAUGCAGCGACGCCGCGUGAGUGAAGAAGUAUUUCGGUAUGUAAAGCUCUAUCAGCAGGGAAGAAAAUGACGGUACCUGAUUAAGAAGCCCCGGCUAACUACGUGCCAGCAACCGCGGGAAUACGUAGGGGGCAAGCGUUAUCCGGAUUUACUGGGUGUAAAGGGAGCGGAGACUGCAGCACAAGUCUGGAGGGAAAGGCCGGGGGUUAACCCCGGAACUGCUUUGGAGACUGUGCAGCUAGAGUGCAGGAGAGGGAAGUGGAAUUCCUAGUGUAGCGGUGAAAUGCGUAGAUAUUAGGAGGAACACCAGUGGCGUAGGCGGCUUACUGGACUGUAACUGACGUUGAGGCUCGAAAGCGUGGGGAGCAAACAGGAGUAGAUACCCUUGUAGUC
rnacentral:rRNA from 1 species